rnacentral:rRNA from 1 species
CCUACGGGCGGCAGCAGUGGGGGAUAUUGCACAAUGGGCGCAAGCCUGAUGCAGCCAUGCCGCGUGUGUGAAGAAGGCCUUCGGGUUGUAAAGCACUUUCAGCGGGGAGGAAGGCGGUGAGGUUAAUAACCUCAUCGAUUGACGUUACCCGCAGAAGAAGCACCGGCUAACUCCGUGCCAGCAGCGCGGUAAUACGGAGGGUGCAAACGUUAAUCGGAAUUACUGGGCGUAAAGCGCACGCAGGCGGUCUGUCAAGUCGGAUGUGAAAUCCCCGGGCUCAACCUGGGAACUGCAUUCGAAACUGGCAGGCUAGAGUCUUGUAGAGGGGGGUAGAAUUCCAGGUGUAGCGGUGAAAUGCGUAGAGAUCUGGAGGAAUACCGGUGGCGAAGGCGGCCCCCUGGACAAAGACUGACGCUCAGGUGCGAAAGCGUGGGGAGCAAACAGGAUUAGAUACCCUAGUAGUC